rnacentral:lncRNA from 1 species
UUUCUUGCUGAGAAAGUCUAGCUAGGAAAAUGAAAGAAAUUAGUGUCUUGGAACCCGUGAAAAUGGGGCCAGGACAAUUGUUUGGCUUGGUUGAGGUGGAUUCUAUUCUAAAGAACUUUUGGAAACUAGAAGAAUGGUUAAAUGUGAGGUUCUGAAUUACCUUUUCUUUUAUGUUCCUUGUGUUUCAGCAUCCAAACAGGAGAGUAAGUUGGAAAAUGAGUGGGAAUUUAAAUUUGAAUUCUGUGGGUGGUUGAUAGGUUGUUUGUCACUUGUUUCUUUAGGAAUGAAUGGAGAAAUAGAUUAGGUGUGCUUAAUUUUCAGUGAUUGCUUUACUUUGUAAUGGGUUUGUGAUCAAAUUAAUCUAUGCGCAAUUUUGAGUUAUGGUUAUGUCUAUCUACUUUUGUACAAAUUGAUUGUGAAAAUACCAUAUUCUAAGACAUGUCAUCAUUUACAGAGAUAAAUUACAUGUUAUGGAAUGGCUGUAUGCAGAUGAUGGUUUCAGUAGAACACACUGGAGCAAUGUGCUAUUAGAAAUAUGGCAAUUCAUAUUAAAAAAUGGGCCUUCUGCCUUCAUCCUCUGGAUUCUUUCCCGUUCUUAGACUAUCAGGGUGCAUUUGGUAUGCGAGCAUACAAAUGGAAAUAGGAAUCAAAAUCCCAGUGAGAGUGGGAUUUGGUUUCCAUACUAAUGAAUUUUUUAUUCCUAUUCUCAUUCUAAAAAACAAUUCAAACACAUUAAUGACUGGGAAUGGAAUAAAUUUCUCAUCCCCAUUCUCUAUUCCAAUGUCCCAAACAUGACCUCAGUGAAUAGUAGAGGUAAAUCUUUGGUCUUAUAAGUUUAAAUUGCAUAAUCCAUAAUGUUUCUUUACUCACUAACUGAUCUCAGCCAAGGUUUGUAGCGUGCCUUUCCUAGACUCUUGGCUCUCAAGAAUUUGGCUUCAAUAUAUGGAUGGUUAACAUCGGGUUGCUAGCAGGUCCUAACACAUUGUCAAAGUGUGAUGAUAGAUCAUAUGCCAAUCCUUGCACUGUUCGGUAUAAGACUUUAGGUUCUAUUAUUCAUCUAACAUGGUUAGUAAUUUUAACUUUCAAGUGUUGCCUAUGCAUUAUUAACUAUCUGAUGGAAAAUUUCCUUGGCCCUUGAAAGCAAAGUCAACAAAUUUUUUUUGUAUCAACUUCUGUCUUGCAGUGAAAUUUUGUUUGCAGGUGAGUUAUGGGUGAAUGCCAACACCAAGCAGAUAUAAAGUGUUGGCUGAAUUAAGUUAAAUUAGGCCAGCUUAGGGUUUUGAACACUUAGGAUUUCUAACAGCCCAACUGGAUUGAGUAUUUCAGGGCAGGUUGAGGAACAGAAUAUAUCAUAGCAAAAUUGUAUUUCUCAUUGUCAUCUAAAUUGAAUUUUGUUUCAUUGCCAGUAUGCCACUUCAUGAUUAUUCUAUUACAUACUAUUGAAUCUGUUAAUCCCAUUUGGCUUCCAUUCUUCUGCAUUUUGAGGUCAAAAACCUUUCAAUGUUUAUUUAAUUUUAGACUUCUCCUAACAAUCCAAAAGUAUUGAUAGAUCUCUUCUUGUUAUGAUCAAAUAACAAAGAAAAUAGGGAGUAAAAGUUUCUUCAUUUGAUGAAUAUUAGCAUGAUUCAUGACAAUCUCCCCAUGAUGGGGAUUAAAUGGGCAUCUGGUGACUCUGCUUCUUUUAUGUUUUUUAUGAAUAAAAAAUUUACUACUAUUUUUUUUAACCAUCAGUCUUAAUUUAAUCUGUAUUUCAGGUGCGAUACCAGUAGUGAACCAAGUUAUGGGUGCCACCAGAGGUGCAACUGAUGCUUUUUCUGGUGUUGGUAGACAUGUUAAUGACGCUGUAAGUCAAAUCAUUGUGUUUUCAGUCAUUUGGUAUGUACUCGUAUUUUAUUCUGAUUACCUGAUGAUGUAUCCUCNNNNNNNNNNNNNNNNNNNNNNNNNNNNNNNNNNNNNNNNNNNNNNNNNNNNNNNNNNNNNNNNNNNNNNNNNNNNNNNNNNNNNNNNNNNNNNNNNNNNUCCUCUGGAUCUUUACCCGUCGUAGACUAUCAGGGUGCAUUUGGUAUGCGAGCAUACAAAUGGAAAUAGGAAUCAAAAUCCCAGUGAGAGUGGAUUUGGUUUCCAUACUAAUGAAUUUUUUAUUCCUAUUCUCAUUCUAAAAAACAAUUCAAACACAUUAAUGACUGGGAAUGGAAUAAAUUUCUUCAUCCCCAUUCUCUAUUCCAAUGUCCCAAACAUGACCUCAGUGAAUAGUAGAGGUAAAUCUUUGGUCUUAUAAAUUUAAAUUGCAUAAUCCAUAAUGUUUCUUUACUCACUAACUGAUCUCAGCCAAGGUUUGUAGUGUGCCUUUCCUAGACUCUUGGCUCUCAAGAAUUUGGCUUCAAUAUAUGGAUGGUUAACAUCGGGUUGCUAGCAGGUCCUAACACAUUGUCAAAGUGUGAUGAUAGAUCAUAUGCCAAUCCUUGCACUGUUCGGUAUAAGACUUUAGGUUCUAUUAUUCAUCUAACAUGGUUAGUAUUAACUUUCAAGUGUUGCCUAUACAUUAUUAACUAUCUGAUGGAAAAUUUCCUUGGCCCUUGAAAGCAAAGUCAACAAAUUUUUUUUGUAUCAACUUCUGUCUUGCAGUGAAAUUUUGUUUGCAGGUGAGUUAUGGGUGAAUGCCAACACCAAGCAGAUAUAAAGUGUUGGCUGAAUUAAGUUAAAUUAGGCCAGCUUAGGGUUUUGAACACUUAGGAUUUCUAACAGCCCAACUGGAUUGAGUAUUUCAGGGCAGGUUGAGGAACAGAAUAUAUCAUAGCAAAAUUGUAUUUUGUUUCAUUGCCAGUAUGCCACUUCAUGAUUAUUCUAUUACAUACUAUUGAAUCUGUUAAUCCCAUUUGGCUUCCAUUCUUCUGCAUUUUGAGGUCAAUAACCUUUCAAUGUUUAUUUAAUUUUAGACUUCUCCUAACAAUCCAAAAGUAUUGAUAGAUCUCUUCUUGUUAUGAUUAAAUAACAAAGAAAAUAGGGAGUAAAAGUUUCUUCAUUUGAUGAAUAUUAGCAUGAUUCAUGACAAUCUCCCCAUGAUGGGGAUUAAAUGGGCAUCUGGUGACUCUGCUUCUUUUAUGUUUUUUAUGAAUAAAAAAUUUACUACUAUUUUUUUUAACCAUCAGUCUUAAUUUAAUCUGUAUUUCAGGUGCGAUACCAGUAGUGAACCAAGUUAUGGGUGCCACCAGAGGUGCAACUGAUGCUUUUUCUGGUGUUGGUAGACAUGUUAAUGACGCUGUAAGUCAAAUCAUUGUGUUUUCAGUCAUUUGGUAUGUACUCAUAUUUUAUUCUGAUUACCUGAUGAUGUAUCCUCUCCUUCUCUUAUCUCCCAUUUCUCAUUUUUUUAGUUGAGGAAGUUAGGAGCUAAGAACAUUGAAGCUGGCAUCGGAUGUGGGGUUGGUUUUGGCCAUGGUUUUGGAGUUGGUACGUUCUUUGCUAUAUCUCAUGAGUGAAGAAGCCAUUACCAAAUAUCUCUUUAGAUUUGUUAAGUUCAUUAAUAUACUAAUGGGAUGGUUAUUACAUAAGUAAUUUGUCUAAACUUAAUAGUAUCUAGCAUUUUCAGACUAGUGCAUUUGCUAUAUUUGGGGGCUGGUAGUCAAAGUUUUGGAUUUUCCAUGGGAAAUUUUUAAUACAUUUCACCUAAUUGAUUAGUGUAAUUCCUUUAUCUAUUGCAUUCAUGUGGAAGAAAUUAUAAACUAGAAUGCAUGUUUCACGAGAUAGAGGAAAAAUUGAAAUCAACCAAUCUUUCAUGUGGUUGAAGUUCAUGAACGAUUAAGGAAAGGAAAGAUAUAAUGGAAAAGACAGGAAAUGUGGGUUUGUAACUCCAUCUCCAGUGGUGUAGAGACACAAUUUUUAAAAACUAUACCUUCAACAAACUGUAAAGAGGAUUUGCAUGAGGGCCUGUAGUCUGACCAUCCAGUUCAACCAGUCAAACCAUGAUAUCAGCAUGAUACAAUACAUGACAAAUUGAUUUUUAUGCUUUUUGGUUGUUGUGAUCCUCAUGGAUGAUAUUAAUUUUGGGAUCAAGACAUGAUUUAAAGGCUAUGCAUAUCUCUGGUUGCUGUAGAUUACAGUAAGGCAAAAUAUUUGUGGCCAUGCUCUGUUUCUUCUGCUGUUUGUCUUAAAGUACAUUGUCAAGCUGGUAGAAAAUGUUACUAACUUGAUGCCCAACAAACCCCAUAGAAAUGCAUCUCAUAAUCCAGUUAGUCUAUACUUGACUAAAAUCAACUUCUUCUGUAUCUUUAUAUUAAAGUCCAUCAUAAACUGUCACAUGCUUUUUUCAUAUAUUUCCUAAAUAUAUGCCUGCUAUGUUCAGACUUUGAAGUAGCAGAAUUUAUUUAUUUAUUAAGAAUAUGCCUCAAUCAAUUGGCUAUUACUUUUAUUUGAAAUAUAGCAAAAAAUUAUCGAUUUGUAAUGUUGGGUUAUUCUUUCAUUUUUCCAUCUUAGACUGCUGAAGUAUUGAUAUUACAUUGCAGGGCUUGCUGUGAAGCCUGGUGUAGUUCAAAAAAUUCAAUAUUGUAUUGUUGUAUGUAUAAUUUUUGUCAGUCAUAUUUGUGCUGUCUACUAUUGUUUCACACCAUGUAUCUAAAUUUCAACUUUAAAUAUCCAGCAAACAACAACAAAGAUGAUGAUGAAGUUCGGAAUACUUCCCAAUAUACCCAUUGGUAAAGACAUCAUUCCACCAUCUCUGUCAUCCACUGUUCAAGGUAUCAUUCCGCCAUCUUUGUCAUCCACUGGACAAGGUAUCCUUUCACCAUCUCUGCAAAGUGGCAUGAGCAUGACCAAUGAGCCCUCCAGCCAAAACACGACGGGAAGUGUCCUGCAGUUGGCAACAAAACUAGUAGAACAAACCUCUUAUGGCCUGGCUGGGGAUGCAACUUCGAACACAGGUUCUACUUCUGGAGCUUCUACAUCAAAAAGUUCACAGGGAACAUCCUUGGUUAGUCAAACCGGGAAGGUUGUCACUAAUAUUCUGCACGAUCUGACUUCAACAGAGGGGGGCAAUGAAGUAAAUGAACUGGUAUGUAACAGAGUAGGAUAUUGGAUCAUCUUUCAGUUUGAAUCUUGUUUAUUUGGAAUUUUUUGCCGUUAUACUUUUUUAAGUGAGAUUUUUAGUGUUUUACUUCAUAUCUUGCUAUAGAUAUGGAAUUAUUCUAUGGGUUGGUUUAAAUUUGUGAUAGCCAGAUUAAUAGAUAUCUAUAUUUUUUAAACAAAAAUAAAUUUAUUAAAGAAUAUAUGAUUCAUUUUUGCCAUUUAAUGUUUUUCAUGGAUCUGAUUUUACUCUAUUCAGAUUGAAUGUAUUGUUCCUGUAUUCAGAAUUUCUCAUUUACAUAUUAGCCAGUGCUUUGGAUGUACUCAAAGUGAGCUGCAUAUUUCAUGAACAACCUAAAAUAACACUGGACCCACAUCACCUUGCAAAAUUUCUCUUCUUUUUAUUUUUUAUUUUUUUAUUGCUUCGUGUUUUGGUCCUUAAUAUCAGUGACAUCAUAAAGCAAUGCCAUAAACAUAAUGCUUGAUGUUUUUGUUUUUAAGAUAUUAUCUUGUGCUGAUGUAGGAUCAAGUUCUAAUCCUUGGAUUUUAUGUUUUUAGGCUGAGCGCUUGAGAUCAGAAAACAACAUGCUUCACGUGGUAAUGUCUUUUAUACCAAUAUUCAUGUGUGUUUUCAUGAGAUGAAAUAUUGAAAAGAAAACUAUAUUUAUAAACCUCAAUAAUUUUAGAGCAGUGUUCAUGAGUCAAAGGAGAGCCCUGACUGAUGGAAUUUUCUUUGUAGACUAUCAAAUCCCACUGCAGUGUUAUCUUAUCACCCAAGGAAGGUGUUAAGAGUCUCACCAGGAAAUUGUUAGAUGUGUUUUUUAGUUCGUCCACCAUAUGUUGAAUUUAAUGUGUUGAAAUGGUCCAACUAAUUGCAAUUUUCUGUGCAUUUUCAGAUUUUGAAUCACGAGCAAAUCAUUCAGGAGCUUAAGGAGGAAAACGAGAAGCUUCGCCAGGUGCUGGUGGAAGAUCUGAACAUACCACCCUGCAAGCUCCAAACCAGUAACUCAAGUAGAUAUACAUCACCAUCUGAAGAUUGUUCCAGUUACUCAAAUAGACAGAGAUCACCAUGUGAAGAUUGUUUUGAUUGCCGCAGAAAAGAAAGAAAAAGAUAGAAGAAAAUUUGUGUGCUACUUCAGAAGAGACUCAGAAUUCAAGCAAUUGACUACAAAGAACUUAACUGAUCCUUGUCUGGUCCGGGGUUUGAAGAUUUGGUUUGGUAUUACCAACCCAGCAGUGCAGAAUCAUCCCCAGGAGUGUGCAAGGAAAAUAGGGUAGUAGGAAUUCAAUACCUGAAAGACAAGACCAAACACUUGGGUAUGAACCAAUUGAAGGGUGAUUGAUGUAGGUGCAUAAGGUAAUAAUACAACUUGCCCUUUUUUUUAGAUUUCUUUGUUUCCUUGUUUUAUGUAAACUAAAUAUUUUUUGCUUCACCCCAUCAUUAAAACAAAGUGCAUGUACUUUCAGCUUCCUGCAACUGUUAUUUGUUCCAAUUGUUGCUGAUGCCCAUCAGCUCCUGCCUUCUGCAGGCCAUAUUUUGGAUCUGUUUAGUGUUUCCCACAUUCCACAGUUACUGGAAUGGGCUUCUGGAGAUUCUUGACUGGUUUGCUUGUUCAAAGCAGGAAAUCUCUGCCAUCCAAGUCAAUUCCUUUUACAAUGUUAUGGUACUUUCACCCCCUACUACAACAUUAAAUCAAGAUGCCCACAAAGAGAGACAGCCCCUAAUAAUUGAGCAUACUUAUCCAUUUCUACAUGUUAGGGGUAGGCCCAAUUCUUUUGGUAUUCUUGGCCCAUGUAAUUUGUCAUUAUGCAACUCAUCUUCCUCAGUAAUGGUUAAAUCAGUCUAGUCAGGUGAUUAAUGGAGACACCAAGAGGCCCGCAUAUUUCUUAUCAGAGUAAAUUGUAAGUGUGCCCUCAAGAGACAUCCGGGCAGUUUUUGUUAUCAAGAGAGACUAGGAGAUGUGCUUUCUCUACUGGUGGUUGAGAGGAACUCAAACUAGAAAUAGCAUGAUUGAUUUGAAACUUGAAACAAAGGGUGGAGAAGAAGAAAGUGGUGAGGGAGUGGGCAAAGUAGGGAGUUGCAGAGAGGCUUUUUCAAAGACUGCUUUGGUAUCAUGUUUCUCGUUAAAAAGGGUUUGAUUUUUUCUGAUUGCCACUUUUGAAUUGGGGGAAUCCAAUGCUUUUCCCACAAAGGACACUCUUUAGUUUUUUUGGGGGAGUGGGAAUCCAAUGUCUUUUCCACCCAAAUCAACACCUUCUCCAAAAUUCAUGCACUUAAUUCUCCAUCUCAAACUCAUUAUUCAGUCAAAUGUUACUUUGUGAACCUCAAACAUCAAAGCACAACAAUUAUUAGCAUUUAGAGUGAAUUUCCACCUUUUUGUUAAUAUUCUCCCAAAAUUGUAAGAACCCGUCUGUGGUUUUUGAAAAAAUAUCCACCUUUGUAUUAAUUCUGAUGGAGGAGAAUUAGAAGAACAAAUAAAAAACAAAAAAAAUAUACUUAGUGGUUCUUUAAUCAUGGUAUGCUAGUCCUAGUUUAUUGAAUAUCUUGAGAGAAAGGAAAAGGAGAAUGUGAUGUUUGCUAGUAUGCAUAUAUUUUAUUGCAAGGCNNNNNNNNNNNNNNNNNNNNNNNNNNNNNNNNNNNNNNNNNNNNNNNNNNNNNNNNNNNNNNNNNNNNNNNNNNNNNNNNNNNNNNNNNNNNNNNNNNNNAGAGUAAAUUGUAAGUGUGCCCUCAAGAGACAUCCGGGCAGUUUUUGUUAUCAAGAGAGACUAGGAGAUGUGCUUUCUCUACUGGUGGUUGAGAGGAACUCAAACUAGAAAUAGCAUGAUUGAUUUGAAACUUGAAACAAAGGGUGGAGAAGAAGAAAGUGGUGAGGGAGUGGGCAAAGUAGGGAGUUGCAGAGAGGCUUUUUCAAAGACUGCUUUGGUAUCAUGUUUCUCGUUAAAAAGGGUUUGAUUUUUUCUGAUUGCCACUUUUGAAUUGGGGGAAUCCAAUGCUUUUCCCACAAAGGACAGCCUUUAGUUUUUUCGGGGGAGUGGGAAUCCAAUGUCUUUUCCACCCAAAUCAACACCUUCUCCAAAAUUCAUGCACUUAAUUCUCCAUCUCAAACUCAUUAUUCAGUCAAAUGUUACUUUGUGAACCUCAAACAUCAAAGCACAACAAUUAUUAGCAUUUAGAGUGAAUUUCCACCUUUUUGUUAAUAUUCUCCCAAAAUUGUAAGAACCCGUCUGUGGUUUUUGAAAAAAUAUCCACCUUUGUAUUAAUUCUGAUGGAGGAGAAUUAGAAGAACAAAUAAAAAACAAAAAAAAAAUACUUAGUGGUUCUUUAAUCAUGGUAUGCUAGUCCUAGUUUAUUGAAUAUCUUGAGAGAAAGGAAAAGGAGAAUGUGAUGUUUGCUAGUGUGCAUAUAUUUUAUUGCAAGGCAAAAGGCAGAAUCUCAAAGUUAAAAGAAAGGCAAAGGUGAAAAGAAGGAAUGGGAAAUUGGAGAAUAAUGAAAAGAAUUGUGUGGGGAGACAAACACACCAUGUGCACAUCCCUAUCAUCCUCAUGUAGCUUUGUCUCAACUCAGCCCCACCACCACAACCCACCAACCAUCCUCUCCUUUUAAGCCUCUUCCUCCCUUCCACGCACCUCCAAAAGGACACCUAUUCCCCCAUUUCCAAAAGCUAUCUCACCACUCACCAGUGAUCCCCACCCCCCCUUUCCUCCUCAUAAUUCUACCUCCUCCAGCUGUCACCUAACCUUUUCUUCUCUCUUCCAUUCUCCCCUCCCAUCUACCCCCCUCCCCCCUCCCCUCCAAUCACCCAACUACCCUUUGUAAUCAUUUUUCUUUUUCUUCUGAGUUUGGAAAGAAUUUACAUUUAUCAGCAUUUUAAAUCUGAUUGGCAUGAGCUGAGACUUUUUGAAUCUGAUACAAUGCUGUUACAGCUCUCCUUAUCAUUAUUGUUAUUACAAUUUUGAGUUGAUUAUGAGUGGGAGUUGAGUCAAGUCAAAGCCCCACUACUUCUGAAAUAUAUGGUAAUGUGAACAAAAUAAACGAGUUGGGACACAAACAAGAAUCACGAGGUCGUUCUUAUUCAUCUAAAGUCAAAAUGCUACACAAUGUAACAUCCGAAUAAAAUCUACCAACCAUCCUCACAAAUCACAAAUGGGGUUCCAAAAAUCACAAGAAAACAAAAGAUAAAAAGAAAAAAAAGAAAAGAAUACGCAAAUAAUUAUCUUAAUCUACAUGGAAGUUGGAACUAAGUAAAGUUUGAAAAUCAAUGACCAUGUGUCUAAACAAGCAGCGCUGCAACUCCCCCCAACAAUGCCACCAACCCCAUGCUGCUCCCAUGCACAAACCCACCACUGGGCGGCGGCGUGGGUGAAGGAGGAGGUGAUGAACCAGGCCCGCCGGCUGGAGGAGGAGAUGUUGCAGGCGGCGAAGCUGUAGACGGGCCGGGUGAUCCCUCCGACGGAGGAGGCGCAGGUGGUGAGAUAGCAGUUGGUGAGCUAGCCGGGCUUGGGCUCAUUGAAGGAGUGGCCGCUGGUGGAGGUGACGAUACCGGCGAGGUAGUCGGGGAUGGCGAAAUUGAGGUAGUCGGGGAUGGCGAAAUUGAGGUAGUCGGGGAUGGCGAAAUUGAGGUCGGUGGGGUUGCUGGCGUGGCCACGCUUGGUGGUGGGGUUGCCAUAGUUGUUGGGGGAGUGGCGGUGGGGGGCGUUGCGGUGGAGGGGGGAGACGCUGGAGAGGUGGAGGGGGACUGAGCGAGGGAGGAUGCGGCGAAGGUCAGGGAGAGGGCGAGGACGAGCAUGGCACGUACCACAGCCAUGACUCGAGAGCUGACCGAUGAGGUUGGAGCCUUGGAGCCUGGAAGGGUUUUUGAGAGUGUGCGCCUCUUACGGUUGAUGACUUGAUAUAUAGAGGCAUGGACCCCCUAGAACUUGAGAUUUUUCUCACUAUUCUCACACCCAGUUGCAUCAACCCUUCAUCCAACUUCAUCACAUCAACCAACAUACCAAUCUUUUAAAGAUAUUUUCAUUUUACCCUUGUGAAUUACCAUUUUAAUUCCAAGAAGUUACCCUCAU